rnacentral:rRNA from 1 species
CCUACGGGAGGCUGCAGUGAGGAAUAUUGGUCAAUGGCCGAGAGUCUGAACCAGCCAAGUAGCGUGAAGGAUGACUGCCCUGUGGGUUGUAAACUUCUUUUAUAUGGGAAUAAAACAGGGUAUGCAUACCCUCUUGUAUGUACCAUAUGAAUAAGGAUCGGCUAACUCCGUGCCAGCAGCCGCGGUAAUACGGAGGAUCCGAGCGUUAUCCGGAUUUAUUGGGUUUAAAGGGGGCGUAGGUGGAUUGUUAAGUCAGUUGUGAAAGUCUGCGGCUCAACCGUAAAAUUGCAGUUGAAACUGGCAGUCUUGAGUGCAGUAGAGGUGGGCGGAAUUCGUGGUGUAGCGGUGAAAUGCUUAGAUAUCACGAAGAACUCCGAUUGCGAAGGCAGCUUACUGGACUGCAACUGACACUGAUGCUCGAAAGUGUGGGUAUCAAACAGGAUUAGAUACCCGAGUAGUC